rnacentral:tRNA from 1 species
CUGUGGUGUAGUGGUUAAACGCACCCGUUUGGAAGCCGGAGAGGUAAGUUCAAAUCUUACCGG